UCCUACGGGAGGCAGCAGUGGGGAAUUUUGGACAAUGGGCGCAAGCCUGAUCCAGCAAUGCCGCGUGUGUGAAGAAGGCCUUCGGGUGUAAAGCACUUUGUCGGGGAAGAAGUCCUGGGGCUAAUACCUGGGCGGAUGACGGACCCGAAGAAUAAGCACCGCUAUUUUUGU
rnacentral:rRNA from 1 species